GAUGAACGCUGGCGGCGUGCCUAAUACAUGCAAGUCGAGCGAACAGACGAGGAGCUUGCUCCUCUGACGUUAGCGGCGGACGGGUGAGUAACACGUGGAUAACCUACCUAUAAGACUGGGAUAACUUUGGGAAACCGGAGCUAAUACCGGAUAAUAUAUUGAGCCGCAUGGUUCAAUAGUGAAAGACGGUUUUGCUGUCACUUAUAGAUGGAUCCGCGCCGCAUUAGCUAGUUGGUAAGGUAACGGCUUACCAAGGCGACGAUGCGUAGCCGACCUGAGAGGGGGCCGGGCACCAGGGGACGUGGGACAGGGACAGGACCCCACGGGGGGGCGCAGUGGGGGAAUCUGCCGAAUGGGGGGAAGGCCGGAGGGAGAACCCCGGCGGGAGUAAGAAGGGUCUUGGAAUCAAAAAACUUUGUUAUUGGGGAAAAAAAAAUGUGAAAGAAACAAUGCCCCUCUGGCGGGUACCUAACAGAAAGCCCACGACAAGUAAGGUC
rnacentral:rRNA from 1 species